rnacentral:rRNA from 1 species
GAUGAACGCUGGCGGCGUGCCUAAUACAUGCAAGUCGAGCGAACAGAUGAGGAGCUUGCUCCUCUGACGUUAGCGGCGGACGGGUGAGUAACACGUGGAUAACCUACCUAUAAGACUCGGAUAACUUCGGGAAACCGGAGCUAAUACCGGAUCAUAUAUUGAACCGCAUGGUUCAAUAGUGAAAGACGGUUUUGCUGUCACUUAUAGUUGGAUCCGCGCCGCAUCAGCUAGUUGGUAAGGUAACGGCUUACCAAGGCAACGAUGCGUAGCCGACCUGAGAGGGUGAUCGGCCACACUGGAACUGAGACACGGUCCAGACUCCUACGGGAGGCAGCAGUAGGGAAUCUUCCGCAAUGAGCGAAAGCCUGACGGAGAACCGCCGCGUGAGUAAUGAAGGUCUUGGGAUCGUAAAACUCUGUUAGUAGGGAAGAACAACUGUGAAAGUAACUAUGCACGUCUUGACGGUACCUAAUCAGAAAGCCACGGCUAACUACGUG